UAUAUUUAUUUUAUUUUAUAUUUUUUGCUCUGUUGCUCAGGCCGAAGUGCAGUGGUACAAUCAUGGCUCACUACAGCCUCCACCUCCUGAUUCUCAAGCAAUCCUCCCACCCCAGCCUCCCAGAGUGCUGAGAUUACAGGUGUGAGCCACCACACCUGGCCUCCAUUACUUAAAAAUGUUUUAAAGGCUGGACACAGUGGCUCACGCCUCUAAUCCCAGCACUUUGGGAGGCUGAGGCAGGAGGAUCACCUGCAGUCAGGAGUUUGAGAGCAGCCUGGCCAGCAUGGUGAAACCCCGUCUCUACUAAAAAAUACAAAAAUUAGCUGGGCGUGGUGGUGGGUGCCUGUAAACCCAGCUACUUGGGAGGCUGAGUCUGGAGAAUUGUUUGAACCUGGGAGGCAGAGGUUGCAAUGAGUGGAGAUCAUGCCAUUGCACUCCAGCCUGGGCAACAGAGUGAAACUCCGCCUCAAAAAAAAAAAAAAUUAAAACUGUCACUUCCAAACACCAUUAAAAAACAAAGUGCCUGAUUCGGCCGUACAUGUACUAAAAUUGGAACACUGGAACGGUAACAGAGAAGAUUAGCAUGGCUCCUGCACAAAGAUGACACGCAAAUUCAUCAAGCAUUCCUUUUUUUUUUUUUUUUGGAGACAGUGUUUCACUCCUAUCACCAAGGCUGGACUACAGUGGCGUGAUCUCAGCUCACUGCAACCUCCACCUCCCGGGCUCAAUGGAUUCUUCUGCCUCAGCCUCUGGAGUAGCUGGGACUAUAGGCAUGCACCACUGUGCCCGGCUAAUUUUUGUAUUUUUGGUAGAGACGGGGUUUCACUAUGUUACCCAGGCUGGUUUCAAACUACUGAGCUCAAGCGAUCCACCCGCCUCAGUCUCCUAAAGUGCUGGGAUUACAGGCGCGAGCCACUGUGCCCAGCCUCAUACUUUUUAUAUUCAUUUUGAAAAAAACCAAACAUACAAAAUAUAGAUAAGCAUUUAGAUCACAAGUUCCCCAAACUGGUCUUUGUAGCAGCAAUUUAGGAAUCACCUGGGUGGUUUUUAAAAAUACAUAUUCUGCCGGGCACGGUGGCUCACUUUGGGAGGCCGAGGCGGGCGGAUCAUGAGGUCAGGAGAUCGAGACCAUCCUGGCCAACACGGUGAAACCCCAUCUCUACUAAAAAUACAAAAAAAUUAGCCGGGCAUGGUGGCGGGCGCCUGUAAUCCCAGCUACUCGGGAGACUGAGGCAGGAGAAUGUCAUGAAUCCAGGAGGCAGAGCUUGCAGUGAGCGGAGAUCGAGCCACUGCACUCCAGCCUGGGCGACAAGUGAGACUCUGUCUCAAAAAAACAAAACAAAACAAAAAAAAACCAGAUUCUGGGUUUGCCCCAAUUCCAUAAAAUUAACCUCUCAAGGGUGAAGCAGGAGAAACUAUUUUUUAAUGUGCCAAGUGACUUUGAAGUGUGACAAGCUUUUUAAACAUUUUAUUUGGAGUUUUCUGCUUUUAUUAUUUUUAAUUGACACAUAAUAAUUGUAUAUAUUUAUGCGGUACCAUGUGAGAUUUUGAUAUAGGCAUACAAUGUGUAAUGAUCUAAUCAGGGUAAUUAACAUAUCCAUCACCUCAAAGAGUUUUGACAUCACUCAUUUAAACCUCUAAGAAAUACUUUUCAGCUGGGCGCAGUAGCUCACGCCUG
rnacentral:lncRNA from 10 species